rnacentral:rRNA from 1 species
CCUACGGGUGGCAGCAGUGGGGAAUAUUGGACAAUGGGGGGAACCCUGAUCCAGCCAUGCCGCGUGUGUGAAGAAGGCCCUCGGGUUGUAAAGCACUUUCAGUGAGGAAGAACGCCUGGUGGUUAAUACCCAUCAGGAAAGACAUCACUUACAGAAGAAGCACCGGCUAACUCCGUGCCAGCAGCCGCGGUAAUACGGAGGGUGCGAGCGUUAAUCGGAAUUACUGGGCGUAAAGCGCGCGUAGGUGGCUUGAUAAGCCGGUUGUGAAAGCCCCGGGCUCAACCUGGGAACGGCAUCCGGAACUGUCAAGCUAGAGUGCAGGAGAGGAAGGUAGAAUUCCCGGUGUAGCGGUGAAAUGCGUAGAGAUCGGGAGGAAUACCAGUGGCGAAGGCGGCCUUCUGGACUGACACUGACACUGAGGUGCGAAAGCGUGGGUAGCAAACAGGAUUAGAUACCCCAGUAGUC